rnacentral:rRNA from 1 species
UACGGAGGGUGCAAGCGUUAUCCGGAUUUACUGGGUUUAAAGGGUGUGUAGGCGGGUUUUUAAGUCAGUGGUGAAAUCUCCGAGCUCAACUUGGAAACUGCCAUUGAUACUAUUGAUCUUGAAUUUUGUUGAGGUAGGCGGAAUAAGUCAUGUAGCGGUGAAAUGCAUAGAUAUGACUUAGAACACCAAUUGCGAAGGCAGCUUGCUAAACAAAUAUUGACGCUGAGGCACGAAAGCGUGGGGAUCAAACAGG